AACCGCGUAGCUCAGUUGGAAGAGCAUUGGUCUAGUAUUCCAAAGGUCGUAGGUUCGAAUCCCACCGUGGCCG
rnacentral:tRNA from 1 species